GUUCUGGGCCGCACGCGCGCUACACUGAUGUAUUCAACGAGUAUAUAGCCUUGGCCGACAGGCCCGGGUAAUCUUGGGAAAUUUCAUCGUGAUGGGGAUAGAUCAUUGCACACGUUGGUCUUCAACGAGGAAUGCCUAGUAAGCGCGAGUCAUCAGCUCGCGUUGACUACGUCCCUGCCCUUUGUACACACCGCCCGUCGCUCCUACCGAUUGAAUGGUCCGGUGAAGUGUUCGGAUCGCGGCGACGGGGGCGG
rnacentral:ncRNA from 1 species